rnacentral:rRNA from 1 species
UGGGGAAUAUUGGACAAUGGGGGCAACCCUGAUCCAGCAAUGCCGCGUGUGUGAAGAAGGCCUUCGGGUUGUAAAGCACUUUUAUCGGGAACGAAACAUUGUCGGCCAAUACCCGGCAAGGCUGACGGUACCCGAGGAAUAAGCACCGGCUAACUCCGUGCCAGCAGCCGCGGUAAUACGGAGGGUGCAAGCGUUAAUCGGAAUUACUGGGCGUAAAGCGUGCGCAGGCGGUUUGUUAAGUCUGCUGUGAAAUCCCCGAGCUCAACUUGGGAAUUGCAGUGGAUACUGGCAAGCUGGAGUACGGUAGAGGAAGGUGGAAUUCCCGAUGUAGCAGUGAAAUGCGUAGAGAUCGGGAGGAACACCAGUGGCGAAGGCGGCCUUCUGAACCAGUACUGACGCUCAUGCACGAAAGCGUGGGGAGCAAACA